GAAAGGUAACUAAUACAGAGACCAAAUUCACAUCUGGGUAAGCAAGACAAUCCUGGACCUCUUGACCUAAGAGAUGACAACCAACACCUGGGGAUGAAGUUAACCCAGGAAGGCUGCAAACACACCAGUGACCAAAUUGCCUAGCAUAGAUGACCUAAAAGGAGAACAUUCACUUCAACUCACAAAUCCAGAGGCUUCCAUUACAUCCAAGCAGAGAA
rnacentral:lncRNA from 1 species